rnacentral:rRNA from 1 species
GAUGAACGCUGGCGGCGUGCUUAAUACAUGCAAGUCGAGCGAACAGACGCGGAGCUUGCUCCUCUGACGUUAGCCGCGGACGGGUGAGUAACACGUGGAUAACCUACCUAUAAGACUGGGAUAACUUCGGGAAACCGGAGCUAAUACCGGAUAAUAUAUUGAACCGCAUGGUUCAAUAGUGAAAUUCGGUUUUGCUGUCACUUAUAGAUGGAUCUGCGCUGCAUUAGCUAGUUGGUAAGUUGACGGCUUACCACGGCAACGAGGCGUAGCCGACCUGAUAGAGUGGUAGGCCGCACGAGAGCUGAGACGCGGUCCAGGCGCCUGCGGUAGGCAGCAGAAGCGUAUCUUCCGCAGUAGGCGAGAGCCUGACGGAACGACGCCGAGUGAGAGGUAGAGAUCUUGGGAUCGUAAAGCUCUGUUAUUAGGGAAGAACAAAUGUGUAAGUAACUGUGCACGUCUUGACGGUACCUAAUCAGAAAGCCACGGCUAACUACGUG